rnacentral:sRNA from 1 species
UAGAUUGAAAUGUAAUCAAGGUGUCAGC